AGGGGGAUCUAACUCCAAGUUUUUCUACUACUUAUCCAAAAUGUCACCAUCCACCCUAGCCAAGCCACGUUAUAACCCUAAAAGACCUCUAAUGUGUGUGCACAAAGUGAACCGAAUGAAUUCUUAGAUUACUUGCAAAAUUAUUGUUGACUUGCAUGGAUGUGUUGAUUUGAGUGAAUUACCAAAAACUGAAGAGUGCAUGUGAGUAGUGUGAUGAAAUCAUAGAGCCUUGGUCGAAAAGUGUGAACUACUUGAAAAUGUCUUGCGGGAACGNNN
rnacentral:lncRNA from 1 species